rnacentral:rRNA from 1 species
CCCUACGGGGCGCACCAGGCGCGAAAACUUUACAAUGCUGGCAACAGCGAUAAGGGAACCUCGAGUGCCAGGUUACAAAUCUGGCUGUCGAGAUGCCUAAAAAGCAUUUCAUAGCAAGGGCCGGGCAAGACCGGUGCCAGCCGCCGCGGUAACACCGGCGGCUCGAGUGGUAACCGUUAUUAUUGGGUCUAAAGGGUCUGUAGCCGGCCGGAUAAGUCUCUUGAGAAAUCUGGCAGCUUAACUGUCAGGCUUUCAGGAGAUACUGUCUGGCUCGAGGCCGGGAGAGGUGAGAGGUACUUCAGGGGUAGGGGUGAAAUCUUGUAAUCCUUGAAGGACCACCAGUGGCGAAGGCGUCUCACCAGAACGGACCUGACGGCAAGGGACGAAAGCUAGGGGCACGAACCGG